AAUGUUAUCCAACGUAACCGCCCCGCAGCGAGUGGAGUCGAUGAGUUCCUGGUGACUCGCAGACGUGUCCGUGCUGGUGGUGGAUCGUACUCACAGCAGCUGUCAAUCACCUGACCUGCUCUGACCCCGCCCCCUGGCUCCCUCCCCUCCGUCAAUCAGCCUCAUCGCUGCCCAGCAGCGAGUCGAAGCCGCCGCAAAGAGACCGCACUGUAACUGGAAGGUCGCAGGUUCAAGCCUCCGUCCUGCUGACGAGCACAAGACUCCGGGAAUGCUGCCGCAGCUCGAGGAAUGUGUGUGUGUGUGUGUGUGUGUGUGUGUGUGUGUGUGUGUGUGUGUGUGUGUGUGUGCGGUGCGCUGACUCGGCGAGAUCACUGUGGUGGACCUAACUGGCUGGAAAGCUGCCCGGUGCAGGAAUGUGACCUCGUGCACACACACGGUAUGAGGGUGUGUUAAGGUGUGUACGCCGGUGGAGGAGGAAGUAUCCGGAUACUUUACUGAAGUUAAAGUACUAAUACUGCACUGUAUAAAUACUCUAUUACAAGUUAAAGCCAAGUAUUCCAAAUGUUACUUAAGUAAAAGUACUUAAAGUAUUAAAAGUUGUACUGUAAUAUAUGAUAUCAUUAAUUGAUUUAUGACUUUACUUUCUACAAAAAGACACACACACACACACACACACAGACACACAGACACACACACAUUAAAGAGCUGUUUUUGGAGUAAAACCAGGUCAUCAGAUAAUUAAGGAG